rnacentral:rRNA from 1 species
GAUGAACGCUGGCGGCGUGCCUAAUACAUUCAAGUCGAGCGAACGGACGAGAAGCUUGCUUCUCUGAUGUUAGCUGCGGACGGGUUAGUAACACGUGGUUAACCUACCUAUAAGACUGGGAUAACUUCGGGAAACCGGAGCUAAUACCCGCUAAUAUUUUGAACCGCAUGGUUCAAAAGUGAAAGACGGUCUUGCUGUCACUUAUAGAUGGAUCCGCGCUGCAUUAGCUAGUUGGUAAGGUAACGGCUUACCAAGGCAACGAUGCAUAGCCGACCUGAGAGGGUGAUCGGACACACUGGAACUGAGACACGGUCCAGACUCAUACGGGAGGAAGCAGUCGGGAAUACUCCGCAAUGGGCGAAAGCCUGACGGAGGAACGCCGCGGGAGUGAAGAAGGUGUUCGGAUCGUAAAAAGCUGUUAUUAGGGAAGAAAAUAUGUGGAAGUAACGGUGGAUAGAGUGACGGUACAAAAUCAGAAAGACACGGAUAACUACGGG